rnacentral:rRNA from 1 species
UACAGAGGUCCCAAGCGUUGUUCGGAUUUACUGGGCGUAAAGGGUGCGUAGGCGGUGGGGUAAGUUUGAGGUGAAAGCUCCGGGCUCAACCCGGAAAAUGCCUUGAAAACUAUCCGGCUAGAGGGUUGGAGGGGAGACUGGAAUUCUCGGUGUAGCAGUGAAAUGCGUAGAUCUCGAGAGGAACACCAGUGGCGAAGGCGGGUCUCUGGACAGGUCCUGACGCUGAGGCACGGAAAGCGUGGGGGAGCAAACAGG